UGUCCUCAGUCCCGGGUCGUCUCGGCGCGGUUCCGAGCGGUCGCUCCCUCGCGAGGUGCCGCGGGUCAGCGGCUGACGCCAGCCACCUUCCCGACCCGUCUUGAAACACGGACCAAGGAGUCUAACAUGUGCGCGAGCCGCGGGGCAGUACGAAACCCGUAAGGCGAAAUGAAGGUGAACGCCGGCGCGGUCCGGCGGAGGUUGGAUCCCGUCCCGUCGGGGCGGGCGCACUACCGGCCGAUCUUCUCCGCCCUGUCGGCGAGGUCGAGCGAGAGCGUGCAAGUCGGGACCCGAAAGAUGGUGAACUAUGCCUGAGGAGGUUGAAGCCAGAGGAAACUCUGGUGGAGGACCGUAGCGAUUCUGACGUGCAAAUCGAUCGUCAAAUUUGGGUAUAGGGGCGAAAGACUAAUCGAACCGUCUAGUAGCUGGUUCCCUUCGAAGUUUCCCUCAGGAUAGCUGGCGCUCUGUCGCAGUUUUAUCUGGUAAAGCGAAUGAUUAGAGGUCUCGGGGGCGAAACGCCCUACACCUAUUCUCAAACUUUAAAUUGGUAAGAAGCCCGACUCGCUCGUUUGGAGCCG
rfam:Ciona savignyi cont_49886, whole genome shotgun sequence.